rnacentral:sRNA from 1 species
UCGAUAGAAGUGCCCUAUGCCAGACCCU